rnacentral:rRNA from 1 species
UACGUAGAGUGCAAGCGUUGUCCGGAAUUAUUGGGCGUAAAGGGUACGUAGGCGGAUAGUAAAGUCAAGCGUGAAAGGUGUCGGCUUAACCGACAGACUGCGUUUGAAACUGAUUAUCUUGAGUGUAACAGAGGAGAGUGGAAUUCCGUAGUGUAGUGGUGAAAUACGUAGAUAUUAGGAAGAACACCAGUGGCGAAAGGCGGACUCUCUGGGUUAACACUGACGCUGAGGUACGAAAGCUGGGGGAGCGAACGGGAUUAGAUACCCCGGUAGGU